CCUAUCUACUCAUGUUUUAGAGUCAAUAUAAUUUUCUUCUUAGGGCUUAACUAUUUGUGUAAGAUCUUGGAAAGCUUGUGGGCCCCAAACCAUGAGGCCAUGAGACUAUUAAAAUGUCUCUGGUUUUUUGCAGAGGCCUGGCUCCCCCAAGAGCUUAAGGCUGAACUCAUACCAGAGCCAGGUGGCUCUGGGCAUGUACUGUGCCAUGGAGGACCUGGGGAUAAGGAAAGAUGGGGGAGAGGCUUGGGGUAGGGGGAGAUCCUGGAAAUUCUGAACAUGCCUUCCCACCUUCAUCUUGCACCUUCCUGCUUCCCAUGCCCUCUCCCUACAUGUGGCUGGCUCAGACCUAGCUGUCUAAAAGUUUGGCUCCUCCAGGAACUUAGGCCCUGAGCUAAGUGAAGAGAGAUCAGAGAUCUCUGAUCUCUGUUGGCUGUCCCAUACCUCAAUCUCUUUUCCAAUACUCCAUUUUAAAGACCCCAUGUCCCCAACAUUCCAGCCUCAUGGGGCUGUAUAAUGGAAAGAGUGGAGACUUUGGAGUCAGAAAGGCCUGGACUCGCAUGCUGGCUCAGCCUUGAAUUAGUUCGAUAAUUUGGGGCAAGUCAUUUCCCUUCUCUGAGACCUGAUUUCCUCAUUUGCAAGAUUAAUUGGAUAAUGCUAAUGCUCAUGGCUAUGGUAAGGAUCAAACAUGAAGCCACUGGCACAGUGCUUGGCAGUCUGUAGGCGUGUAGUAAAGAGUAGUAUCUUUCAUUCCAGCCAUUUCUGAACCCACAGUCUCACCAGUCACUGAAUUUAGCUCUCAUGUCCUGGUUUCCUGCCUUUUUUAGGUGAUCCUUGCCACUAAGUUACCUGUCAGGAUGCCAAGCCUAUGUGAGGAAGAAAAUGAGAGGUCUGUUUGCCACAUAGCUGAUAGUAUCACCCUUUAAGGACUGCUAGACAGAAACAGUUAUUUUUUUCCAACAGGCUCUGCUCCCUCUUCCCCACCCUCAGUAUCCCGGGGGACCCACCACUCUGCAGAGGUGCAGAAGGCAAAAUGUGGGUCCUCUUGGUGAAAUUACAAGCCACAGUCCCCCAUAUUCAUCAAGAGAAAAUUGAUUAUAACUAAAACUAGUUCCCCCAACCAUUGAGCUCAACCCUACUAUUUAAGCCCAGCAGGAAGGCAUAUCUU
ensembl:lncRNA